AUUGAACGCUGGCGGCGGGCUUAACACAUGCAAGUCGAACGAGUGGCGGACGGGUGAGUAAUGCGUGGGGAUCUGCCUGGUGGAGGGGGAUAAAUACGGGAAACUGUAGCUAAUACCGCGUACAAUAGGAUGCGCCCACGGGGGAUUAGGUAGUUGGUGGGGUAAAGGCUCACAAAGGCGACGGUCCCUAGCUGGUCUGAGAGGAUGACCAGCCACACUGGGACUGAGACACGGCCCAGACUCCUACGGGAGGCAGCAGUGGGGAAUAUUGCGCAAUGGGCGAAACCUGACGCAGCCAUGCCGCGUGAAUGAAGAAGGCUUUCGGGUUGUAAAGUUCUUUCGGUAGCGAGGCGUUAACUACAGAAGAAGCACCGGCUAACUCCGUGCCAGCAGCCGCGGUAAUAC
rnacentral:rRNA from 1 species